GUGGGGAAUAUUGGGCAAUGGGCGAAAGCCUGACCCAGCAACGCCGCGUGAAGGAAGAAGGUUUUCGGAUCGUAAACUUCUAUCCUAGGUGAAGAUAAUGACGGUAGCCUAGAAGGAAGCCCCGGCUAACUACGUGCCAGCAGCCGCGGUAAUACGUAGGGGGCAAGCGUUGUCCGGAAUGAUUGGGCGUAAAGGGCGCGUAGGCGGCCUUCUAAGUCCGAUGUGAAAGUCCUGCUUUUAAGGUGGGAAUUGCAUUGGAAACUGGAGGGCUUGAGUGCAGGAGAGGUAAGUGGAAUUCCCGGUGUAGCGGUGAAAUGCGUAGAGAUCGGGAGGAACACCAGUGGCGAAGGCGACUUACUGGACUGUAACUGACGCUGAGGCGCGAAAGUGUGGGGAGCAAACAGGAUUAGAUACCCGUGUAGUCC
rnacentral:rRNA from 1 species